rnacentral:SRP_RNA from 1 species
CCGUGCUAGAUGGGGAGCCAGCGGUGCCCUGUAACCCACAAUCCGCUACAGUGGGGUUGAAUUCCCUGUCGAGGCUACACUUUUUCUGGCCUGUGUCCUUGUAAGUGGUGUUGAAGGUUAGGGCCCUGUGCGAAGAGCU